rnacentral:rRNA from 1 species
GAUGAACGCUGGCGGCGUGCCUAAUACAUGCAAGUCGAGCGAACAGACGAGGAGCUUGCUCCUCUGACGUUUGCGGCGGACGGGUGAGUAACACGUGGAUAACCUCCCUAUCAGACUGGUAUAACUUCGGGAAACCGGAGCAUAUACCGGAUAAUAUAUUGAACCGCAUGGUUCAAUAGUGAAAUACGGUUUUGCUGUCACUUAUCGAUGGUUCCCCGCCGCUUUAGCUAGUUGGGACGGUAACGGGUUUCGAAGGGAACGAGGCGUAGACGAACGCAGGGAGGGAUCGGCCGCACUGGAGCUGAGACACGGUCCAGGGUCCUAAGGGAGGCAGCAGUAGGGAAUGUUCCGCAAUGGGCGAGAGCCUGACAGAGCAACGCCGAGUGAGAGGUGAAGGUGUUCGGUGCGUAAAACUCUGUUAUUAGGGAAGAACAAAUGUGUAAGUAGAUAUGCACGUAUUGACGGUACCUAAUCAGAAAGCAACGGCUAACUACGUG